AGACAGGUCCUCCACAGAAAGGGAAUCAUUGCCUUGCAAGAGGUUAACUCAACCCCGCCCACAUUACUCUUCUUCUCUCCGUUCCCCAACAAAAUACCCGUUAGCCCUCGCUCUCUCCCGCACUCUCCUCUCACCAGCCACCGCCGGCCCCGCCCUCCUCCCGCUGGCGAUACCCGUCGCCGCCGACGCAGCAGCAACGUCAGCAAAGAUCCUCAGGUGAGGCGCUUUCCUCCCCUCCUCUCCUCCCGCGCCUGCCCUUCCUCGAAACGGUACGAUCUUUUCUCUUUCGUCCUCCAAGAAACGGACAUUGGUGCGCUCUUCUCGAUCACGGACCUCCCUUCCCUUCCUCCCCCGAUGAUCCCUCCCCUGCUGAAGGGCGCGUGAGCCCUCGACGGUUUCGGAUUAUCGAUACCGAUGAAACAGCGGAAAAAGAGCGGUCUUGAUGAUGCACGGGCUGGCCCUGGGCGGGCGCUGAGGGAACGGGAGAAGGGGUCUAAUGUUUCCGUCGCUGGUAGUGGUCCUGUAGAAUCCGGAUCCCCGCAACCUACGUCGGUGAUUUCGAAGAUGGAGAAGAAGGAGCGCAAGAGGAAAUCAUUACCCUCGGCUGAGGCAGGUGUCGGAGUAUUGGAUGAGGACGAGCAGCCGAUUGGUUGUCUUUUCAAGGUCAAGAAGGCAAGGGUUGCGAACAAGGGUAAGCCCGCUUCCCCUCGUGCCAGGGCUGAAAACCCUAGGCAUGACGAGAAGGCCGAGUACGGCGAGAUGGACGAUACAUUAGCCAGUUUCAAGAAGAAGCUGAAGGGUCCAAAGAGGGGUAAAGCUGUUGGUGACGCCGCAUCCAUAGGUGAAAAGAAAUCCCUCCUGUUGGAUGGGUUAGGCUUGUUGGAGAAGGUGGACAACAUGGGAGGUGACAAUGUGCAGUUAGGGCAUCUAGGGAAUCCUGGAAGCAGAAGAUCCAGGCAUGAUUUAACCAUGAAAGAUGGGGCUAAAGGUGUUUCAGGUCUUCGCAGCAGCUCAGAGGAUUCUUCAGACGUGAGUUUGGGAGAUUCACUAUCAACUUUUGUCAAAAGGGUUCAUCCGACUAAAAAAACAAAGGCAAAAGAUAGAACUCCGAGUACUGAUGAUGAAUUGAUGUGCGGAACUGGUAUGGUUUCCAAAGAUUUGGUUCCAAACCUUGAGAGAUCUCCUCUGUUAAACAGUGGUCUGCCUUCAAUUCCUGAUGGAGCACAAUUGGAACUUGUCACCAAAAUUAGGGGUCCAAAGCCUCAUGGUAUAGUUACAGAGAUGAAGAUCAAUAGUACACCAGAUGGACAUUUGGGUGGGAAAUCUGACGAUGAAAUGUUGGUGAAAAAACAGACUUCUGCCUCCGGAAAAACUCUCUCUUGCUCAUCUAUGCCUCAAGAAGGUAGGGUACCUACUUCAAUAUCUUCCAAGUUGUCAAGUCAUAGUUCAGGUGGAACUUCCAAACAAUUACCCCGAAAUUCAACUCAUGAGGCUUCUUCUAUUUCUGGCCUUGAAGUUAUGGAAAGUGCAAAAUUUGAUGCUUGUGGUGGUUCUGUUCUACGUCAUGAGGGAAAUUUUGGUAGUUCUGCACCAUCUUCAUUUCACGUCUUGAGUUCUGAUUCUGUUGAAGCAACGAACGAGAUAACUGUUUUACCAAAACAACAGUCAGAAAAAUGUGUGGGAAAUGACCAUAAGAUGAAUCAAAGUCCUUAUGAAACGUCUGACGAGAAGCUACCUCACCAGUUUACUGAUAAGAUAGCAAGGCAGGGGAAUAGUCUCAAACAUUUCACCAAUGGGAGUGCGACUGUGGGUCUAUCAACUUCUGACCAUCUUUUUUCGAUGAUAUGUAAUGGGACUAGGAUUAGACAGUGUUCUCAUAGAUCAAAUGAAUCACCAGCUAAGGAUGGAAACAAACUUUCUGAUGGUACUCAUGGGUUAUCAGUUCAAGGUUCAUGUUCUGAACAUGUGCUUAGGAUGUCAGAAAAAUGCAAGGAACAUGGUAAUGCUUUAAACGAAGUUAUCACUGGGGUUUCUGGAGAAAUUUAUUCUCUCAAAAGGCAGAGGAAGGAAGUUGUAGGGGCUUUACAUAAUGAUGCGUCCAUUGAUUCAUGCGAUAAAAAUUUAAAUGAGGAUAAAAUACUCAACUUAACUUCUGAGGAAGCUUUUGAAAGACCUUAUUAUAAUUGUGAGAAGAUAUCAUCUGCGAAAGAAAGACUGCAUGCAAUAGAACCUGAAGGUCAUGAUGAAUUAUCAUGGCCUUCCUCUGAGAUUUCACCAAACAUCAAUUGCCAAAAGUGUCAGCUACAUAAUGACUGUAGGUUCCAUCACGGAGUCAGUAGCAGCCGAGAAUAUGGUGGAACUUUGCCUUGUUUAUGUUUCUCAAAUUUUGGUGAGAAGGUAGAAAAAAUUGACGCUGUUGUUGUCCAUCCAGAUCAAUCGACAGAUAUUAUGAGAUCUUGUAAUUCACAACUCUUACCUGCCAACAUCUCAUCUGAUGAGAAUCCUCAACCUGAUGAUGUCAUACACCAAUCGUUGAGUGCAAAUAUUCAGGGAGUUUCACUGGUAAAUCACAUACUAUAUGAUGCCUCCAAAGAGCCAUCUUCCACCAAGAGUCGAGUUCCUUUUACCAUUGAGGAUCCUUAUGUGGUGAAUUCUGAGACUAGAUUCAAUCAGACAGAAACUCAUCAAACUGAACCAUCUUCAGUAUCCGAGUGUGAUGUAUAUAACCAAUCAACAAUUUCCCGUGUGGUCCGUAAUACAAAGAUACAUAGGCAUGGUGACAUGGCAUAUGAGGGAGAUGCUGACUGGGAAGUUCUAAUGCAUGAGCAAGGACCUUUUGCAAACUUGUCUGCCACUAAUGAAGACCAGUCUCUUAGACAAAGAGAUAAGUCAUGUGCACAUUCCUUAGAUGAGGUUUCUUAUGAUGGUUCAGUAGCAGUAGCAACUGGGCUAAAAGCUCAUGCUGUUAGUCCAAUUGAGAAGAUCAAAUUUAGGGACAUCUUAAAGCGUAGAGGUGGUCUUCAAGAAUAUUUGGAUUGCAGGAACUUUAUUCUAGGUUGUUGGAGUAAAGAUGUGAAGCACAUACUUCCUCUUAUGAACUGUGGUGUAACUGAUGCUUCUUCGAAAGAUGAAUCAGCACGUCAAUCCCUCAUUCGUGAGAUCUAUAUGUUUCUUGACCAAAAUGGUUACAUUAAUGCUGGAAUUGCUUCAGAGCAAUGUGUGCCAAAGCCUUCUGUAAAUGUGCAAGUUAAGGAAAAUGCUAAUACAGAACUAGAUUUGUCGCCAGUGGUUCUAAUAUGUGAAAGAGAACCACCCAAAACUUUCAUAGCUGGGGAUCCUGUGUGCUCAGAUUUGGUCUGUAACUUAAGGAGUGAGUAUGAGAAAUUUUCUCCAUAUGAUGAAGGGGUGAGGUGCAAUGAUGCUCAGAAAGAAGACAUUGCGGAAACAUCUAUUCCUUCUAUGAUUGAUCCACCAUUUGAUUGUGGAUCAAAGACUGAUGGUUCCUCACAGCACAUAGAGGCUUUUUCUGAUAUGCACAAUGUGACAAACAUGGUGAAAGAAAAUGCUAAGAUUCAUUCAUCUUUUGCACAAUCUUUAGAGGUGAAUAAUAGUACUGAAUCUGGUCUAAACAUUCACAAGAGGAUAAUCAUUGUUGGAGCUGGUCCUGCUGGCUUAACUGCAGCACGUCAUUUGCAUCGCCAAGGCUUUUCCGUAACUGUUCUCGAGGCUCGAGAUAGAGUUGGUGGUCGUGUAUACACAGACCGCUCAUCACUUUCAGUUCCUGUUGAUCUUGGUGCCAGCAUUAUCACUGGUGUAGAGGCUGAUGUUGCAACUGAAAGAAGACCAGAUCCAUCAUCCUUAAUCUGUAACCAGUUGGGUCUUGAGUUAACUGUUUUGAACAGUGAUUGUCCUCUUUAUGAUAUAGUCACAGGUCUUAAAGUUCCAGCUGACUUAGAUGAAGCUCUGGAAGCUGAAUAUAAUAGUCUUCUUGAUGACAUGGUACUUCUUGUUGCACAAAAUGGUGAGGGUGCAAUGGAAAUGUGUCUCGAGGAUGGAUUGGAAUAUGCCAUUAGGAAGCGGCGGAUGUCUAAGGCAACAUCAGAUUCUGUAGAAUUCAAUAAACUAAGUGUGGUUUAUGAUUCAGCAACAGUGGAUGCUUCUGUAAAUUCCUCAGCUUCUAGAUUGACAGAUGGUGCUGACCAUGAUAUUAAAACUAAUAUUUUGAGCCCCCUUGAGCGAAGAGUGAUGGAUUGGCACUUUGCGCAUUUGGAGUAUGGUUGUGCUGCAUCACUUAAGGAAGUAUCACUUCCUCACUGGAAUCAAGAUGAUGUUUAUGGAGGAUUUGGUGGGCCCCACUGUAUGAUUAAAGGGGGUUACAGCACAGUUAUAGAAAGUUUAGGCCUGGGACUUGAUAUUCAAUUAAACAAAAAUGUUACUGAGAUCAUCUAUAACACCAAUGAAAUAAGUGGUGCCGGCCAAGAUGAAAACAAAGUCAAAGUUAUUACAUCGAGUGGUAUGGAAUAUGUAGGGGAUGCAGCCUUGAUCACUGUUCCACUUGGUUGUCUGAAGGCAGAGACAAUUAAGUUUUCUCCUGCCUUACCUGAUUGGAAGCAGGCUUCUAUCAAGAGGCUUGGCUUUGGUGUGCUAAAUAAAGUUGUAUUGGAGUUCUCUAAAGCUUUUUGGGAUGAAAACGUAGACUACUUUGGGGCUACUGCAGAAGAAACAGAUAAAAGGGGCCAAUGUUUUAUGUUUUGGAAUGUGAAGAAGACAGUUGGGACACCUGUUCUAAUAGCACUUGUAGUUGGAAAGGCAGCUAGACAAACCUUCAGCAAAUCUGAUCACGUGAACCAUGCUUUGAUGGUUCUUCGCAAACUUUUUGGUGAAGCUUCUGUACCAGAUCCUAUUGCAUCUGUUGUGACAAAUUGGGGUAUGGACCCAUUCAGUAGGGGUGCUUACUCUUAUGUUGCUGUUGGAGCAUCUGGUGAAGACUAUGAUAUUUUGGGAAGAACAGUUGCAAAUUGUUUAUUUUUUGCUGGUGAAGCAACCUGCAAGGAGCACCCUGAUACUGUUGGUGGUGCCAUGAUGAGUGGUCUUCGAGAAGCAGUACGCAUUAUAGACAUCUUAACUACUGGUAAGGAUUACCUAGCAGAAGUAGAGGCAAUGGAAUCUACACUGAGACAGUCAGAUAGUGAACGAAAUGAAGUAAGAGACAUGUCAAAGCGACUUGAUGCAUGCAAGCUUUCUAGUGGUCUUUGUAAAAGCUCUUCAGAUGGCAAACAUAUAUUGUCCACCAAGGAAUCUUUAUUGCAAGACUUGUUCUUUAGUGCAAAAACUACAUCUGGACGACUACAUCUUGCUAAAGAAUUAUUGCGCCUUCCUGUUGAAUCUCUAAAAUCUUUCACUGGGACCAAAGAAGGACUCAGCACACUCAACACUUGGAUCCUUGAUUCGUUGGGAAAAAAUUCUACUCAGCUCUUGCGACAUUGUGUUCGCCUGCUUGUUCUUGUAUCAACUGAUUUAGUUGCUGUUCGUUUAUCUGGAAUCGGAAGAACCAUUAAAGAUAAGGUAUGUGUGCAUACUAGUCGAGAUAUCCGUUCUGUUGCAAGUCAACUGGUUGGCAUGUGGAUAGAAGUUUUCCGCAAGGAAAAGGCUGUAAAUGGAUUGAAGCUGUUGAGGCAAGCAACAUGCUCAGAAUCAUCAAAAGUCAGAUCUAAGGAACUCAUAUUAGGAAAGCCACAUCUACGGAUGACUACUGAAACAUCGGAAAAUAAAUGUACUAUUCAAGUUCCUUCAUCUUCUGGAAGCCAUUCACCAUCUAAAGUAAACAUUAAGAAACCUGAGAUCCUGCCCACCAAGUUAGAAUCCUCAGUAUGCAUAAAAUCUGAUGUCAGAUCAUUGCGUUCACAGAGUAUUGUACACACAGAGUCAAAGACAAAGGAUAAUUUAGUUGUAUCUGAAGAAGCUGCAACCUUUGCUGCCGUAGAAUCUGCACGUGCCGCUGCUCUUAAAGCUGUAGAGGCAUAUGCAACUUCAGAAGCAGAGGUGCCAUUGCGUGAGCUUCCCAAGAUACCAUCUUUUCAUAAAUUUGCGAGACGUGAACACUGUGUGCAGUUGGAUGAAUUUGAUGUAAGAAGGAAGUGGUCUGAUGGCAAUUUCGGGCGGCAAGAUUGUGUAUCAGAAAUAGAUUCAAGAAACUGCAGGGUUAGAAAUUGGUCUAUUGAUGUCAGUGCUGCUUGUCUUGACAAUUCAAAAAUGUCCGGUGAUAACUAUACUCAGUGCAGCUAUUCAAAUGAAGUACCAUAUACUUCAAGUCUAAGGGAACAUUCUGGAGAAAGUGGAGCAGUGGAUAGUAGAUUGACCAAAGCUUGGAUUGAUACAGAUGCUGUUGGUAGUGGAGGUGUUAAGGAUUCUCUUGCCAUCGAGAGGUGGCAGUUACAAGCAAUGGAUGCAGAUGCUGAUUUUUAUAGCAGCAUUCAUAUAAGAGAUGAAGAAGAUUCCAAUAACUUAGUCUUACCAGCUUUAAGGAACCAAUGUCAGUCUGGGGCAGAUGCUGCCUUACAAGUAGCAGAAAACAAAUCAUCUCUAGAGCAUCAGCAAAGAGGAGUGAACUAUAUUAAACAAGGUGUUGUGGAUUAUGUAGCUUCCCUACUGAUGCCUCUGUACAGAACUAGGAAGAUCGACAGAGAAGGUUAUAAAUCAAUAAUGAAGAGAACUGCAACCAAGGUUGUGGAACAAUGUACAGAAGAAGAAAAAAGAUUGGCUAUUUAUGACUUUCUUGAUUUUAGACGGAAGAACAAGAUUAGAUCUUUUGUGGACAAGUUGAUUGAGAAGCACAUGGCUAUGAAUCAAAGUGUGAAGUCGUGAUGUUUCCAAGUGAUGUAACAAAAGCUGGCAUUUUCUUCUCCUAUGGAAGAUGGACAUCCUUCAAGACCUUAUAACCUAUCACCAGGUCUGUUGCUUCAAAACUGUUGUGAAGCUGGGUAAAUGAUGAGUUGAUGGGCUGGUGAAUUUGGAUCACACUCUCGGAUGAGGCGCAACAACAAGUUCCAGAAAUCCAGGUAAAUUAUGAGUUAAUGAGCUGGUUUAAUCGGACCACACUCUCUCGUGAGACGCUACAAUGAGUUCCAGGUUAGCCAACUCUAAUUUUCAUUUACACGUUGCACAGUGACAUGAUAUUACUUCUUCGUAGUUGUUUGAUGUGUAAUUGUGAGGCGUAUCCAUAGACAAAUAAUUCCAAGAUCUGCCUCUUUAUGGCAUACUUUGUGUUAGAAGGAUUCAUGUUUCAAACAUUCCUCCUGGCACCUCACCAUGCACAUUAAAUGCUUAUUCUUAUAGCUGUUACUGUCCUUUGGUGAGUGGUACUGAUGAUUGUUCCUUGUGGCCUGCAUCUCAGCCAAUGAUAGUGAUAGUGAAUGGUGUGAAUAAGGUUUGAAAUUUCGUACCAUACUGAUGUACCAAGCUUUGUUCAGAAUGGUAUGGUACGGCAUACCAAGCGAUAUGAAUAAAUAUAUAUAUAUAUAAUUAAUAUAUAAAUAUAUAAAUAUAUAUUUUUUACAUAAAAAAUAUAAAAAUAAAAAAAUAUUAAGAAAAAGGCAUACGCAGCCUCGGCGACGUGCUUCCUCCUCUUCUCCUUGUCACCUCGUCUGCAAUAUUCGGUGAAGAAGGCGGCGAAGACGUCAAAGGCUGUAGAUGUCUUCAGCCUUCGACUAUAAAUACUUUAAUGGAGAAGAGGUAGAUGGAGACUUAGGAAUACUUUAAUGGAAAAAGAAAAUUUUAGAUGUUAUUAAUUUGAUAAAAGAUAUUUUUUUGUAUAGAGCUCAAUAACAAUAUAAGUUCUGCAACUGUCCCCAAAUAGUUGGAACAUUAUAGAAUACUCUUGUCGUUGUUGUUAUUGAUUAAUACCAGUUUUAAGAACCUAUUGGACCAGUAAGGUACUGAGCAACUGAUUGGUAAAUCAAGCUGUGUACCUUUCGCUGUCAUUGAGUAUAACAAUAAAAAAUUGUAAAAAGGAACAUAUGCAUAGUGGUAUCAUAUGUUCGAGCAUCAAUGCUUGGUCAGACCAGCAAAUACCGGUGGAUAUUUUUCCAGUCUAACCUGUACUUUAAAUCAUGAUUGCAUGAUUAUUGCAGUUCUCCGGUGGUGACAUUGUUAGGAUAAUUAUUAGACCAGUGGAUAUUUUUCCAGUCUAACCUGUAUUUUAAAUCAUGAUUGCAUGAUUAUUGCAGUUCUCCAGUGGUGAUAUUGUUAGGAUCAAGGUAUGCAAUACCGUACCGUACCGGUAUUUCGAGGUUGGUUCGGUUUGGUACGGUACUGUAUAUCGAGCGGUACACCGGGGUGUACCGAGCGGUAAACCUAAUUUUAAAUAUUUCUUUCUUUCUACUGUAGCACUGUAGCACGUUAGUGGUUCAUGUACGGGUAUAUCGUCGGACCAGUACAUACCGCUCGUACCGGACGGUACCAUUCGAAAUUGCAUACCAUGGUUAGGAUAAUUAUUAGACUAAGCUGGAAAGGAAUUAGGUCUCUAAAAGGAAUCAAGUGAAAAUAUAUACUAAGAAAAAUUGUAGUUUUUUUGCUUGGUAAUUCGUGCAGGGAUUGGUUUGUAAUCUUUGAGAUCCGUGCAAGGAUGAGGAUGGCGGGGUUUUCUUCUCUCUUUGCUAUAUGGGAUAGAAGCAGAUGAAUCAUCUCUUAGGCUCUGAGGCAAUUUACUUAAUAGAUUAAAGCAUAUAUCUUUAGGGUAGAUUCCAGGAGAAUGUUGGGGUAUCUUAUUACUGAAGAAUAUAAAAGGGCAACCAAUAGGAAAUAAAAAGCUUAAAAGUCAAUGAAGUGCACUUGUCCCUUUAGUGCGUAAAUUGUAUGGAAGACCUUGGUAGGGAAGGAAUGGUCUAGGUGCUGUGUAUUAGAUUUAAAUGGCCUUGUGCUUAUACAAGAAGUUUUGACAAGCUCUUUUUUUUCUUUUGUCUUUGUAUUGCCUCUUCUUCUGCUAGUAGCGAAACUGGCCACAUGAAGCAUCUCAAAUGUCAUACAGUGGAAAGAUCUGAUUUUUUUUAGAUCCCUGAAUAAAUAGAAUCACUGAAUAAAUAGAAUCAUCUUGUUUUGGUCUUUCAAUGACAGUAUUUGAAAGCAGAAAAUCUACUUGUUGCAUCUAACAAAUAUUUGUGCUUGAAUGCAGCAUGCUAGUAGAAAUAGUAACCUGUUUGGUCCAAUCCAAUUAAACUUUUGCAGUCAGGUUGUUGCUUUAGGUCUCAUCAAUAUGCAACAUGUUGAGUGCUUCGGAAACUUCAUCAAAUAAUUCUCUUGUUUGGCCUUAUAUCUGUAAUUAACCAUGUCUCUUAUUUUAAGCUCUGCAAAGUUAUUUAAAUAUCCUAACAUUGUCACUGUUUUCUGUGUGUUUGUUCACUUCUUGAUUACUAUUCAAUAUAAUAGAUUACUCGUUAGGUAUCUUAUAUCUUUUGAAAUGUGAAGAUUAAUCUGUAGAAACACUACCACAUAUACAAUUUAGCACCAAAUGAUCAAAGUUCAAAUCAUUUAAUCUUUUGAGGUAUACUAAGAUACCGGAAGGCACAUAAUAUCUUUAUCUCAGUUUGGUAACAGUUUUUGUUUCAUUACGGUGAUUGAUUUAUUCCAAACUUUUAGGGCAUGCCCUCUGAACUGUACAACAAGAAAAACUGUAAAGUCCCACCCAUUUGAGGUUAGUACACGAGCUCCGUAAAAAAUCAUAUCCUUGUUUAAGAGUAUUUAAAUUUUUAUCUAUAGAUUCUAAUAAAGUCCAUUUAGGUCUCUCUAUCUUUUCUCGCAAAAUUAAUAGUUUCACAUCUUAUAACUACAAUAUCUAUAGGUCUCCCUAGCAUAUGCUCAUACCAUCUUAAAUGGUGCUUCCUCAUCUUAAUAAAUUGUUCAUGAAUAUUCACGAAUAAAAAAUAAUUCUUUCUCAUAUUUUAUAGUAAUUUCGUAGAAUCACCUCAACAUUCUUAUAUCAACAACAUAAACUUCUUAGUAUUCCAUACAUGCACCUCAACAUUCUUAUCUCAAUGACAAACUUUUUAUAUAUGUUGUCUUAUAGUUACUCAGCAUUUAAAUCUAUGAAGCAUCACAUGAUUAACAACUGUCCGUUGCUGUUAUAAACAUAAAAUCACAUGGCUACAAAUAGUCUUUUUCUACUCGAGCCUGGUCUGUUAGCAUCAUUGAGUCCAAAUAAUUGACAAAAAUACUUAAGCUGAAGAUAACAAUUGUAUCUCCAUCAGACUCUUAUAUGUCAUUCUAAAUCUUAGCGCCCCCACUUCCAAUGUGGAACUAAACCUAGGUGUUACACUAGUAUUAAUGAUUGUAAAACAUCUUUAUUUAUGGUAGACUAUUAUUAGUAAUCAAUGGCCAAAUCAAAAUACAAGUCAUUAGUUAGUCCCCGCAAAGAACAAGGUGCAAUUCUUUAGUAGCAAGUUGGUAAUUAAAAUGAUGAUCUAAGUUUGAGAGCAAUAAAUUAAACAUGAUCAUGACUAUUCUUGAUUCAAAUUCAAUUGACAUUAAAUCUUUUUAACAAUUUGUGCAUGAGCAUCAGUGCAAUCUUCAUUAACUAAAUUGUCAUAAUUUCUUAUCUAAGUUAUGGAGUUCUUUUUGUUCAUAGUCUACGUUUGAUUGGAUUAAAUGUAUGAGUUUUGCCAUUAUGAUGGAUAAUAACAGAAUUCAUUUUGCCAGGCCUAAUAAUAUGCCCAGACCUGUGGCCACUCCAUUUGAUCCUUUUUCACAAAACUGCAGUUUGACUAUCAUGUUGCAUUUUAACAAUUUAUGUUGUAGUUUUUAACAUUUGAUCUAAUAAUGCCAAAAAAGUAGCAUUUGAUCUUGUUAUGACAAGUAAUUUAUACGUAUAUGGUCAUAUUUGAACUCUUUUAUAUCGGUAAAGUUGUACUUGUAAACCCUUACACCAUAUAUUAACUGCAACAUUUCGGUUGAAUAUGUGUGGCCUUAAAUUGGAAACUAGUCUAUUUGUAUGUCUGUAAUUUACUGAUAAAUUAAUCAAUUUAGUCAUGUUUGGUACAUUCAAGUGCGGUUCGUGCAUUGACUUACCAUGUUAUUGCCCACUUCUCAAUUUCGACGAGUAUAGGAGAAUAUAGGUAGGAAAAUUAGCAUAAUUAUCUUUCUUAAUUUGAUAAUAAGUGCUGUGGAGCCCUACCAAAGGGUGAAAACCAUGUUUGCAUUUUGAGAUGGGAGUAAUAGAAAUAUAUGAAGAAAGAUUCGUGAUAUGCAAUCCCAAUGCUGAUACACGAAUAACAGACAGGAUUUCUUGGAAUAAAAUCAAUUGUUGGUGUGUCCAAGGAGUUGUAUUGACAAUAUUAAUAGUUUGGGUUAGAGGGGUGACAUGCCACUUCCAUCUUCUUUAGAUGUUUUAUCCUAGGAAUCUAGGAUUGGAAGCACUAAAUUGUAUGGUUUCUUUGUAAGUGGAGCUCUUUUGAUUCUCAAGUUCAUUUCGUCAUGUUUGGUAUUAGAUCAAAAGCAAAGACAAUCAUUUUUGUUGCCUUAGCUUAGUUCUGUUCACGUGAUCUACUUUUUUGUGCUUAUAAUAAUGCAUCAAUUUGUCAGCUUUUUUCUUCUGGCUAAAAAGUGUCUUUACCAUCUUGGAAAUUUUAGUCAAGAUUGUAGAUAUCUAUACAGAUACACGUGUCUAUCUUCUUAAAAAAUCUUGGUGGGUUACCAUCAGAUUUUUACUGUUGAUCUAAAUAAAAAUUUUGUUUUCUGACGAUGGAAUACCUCUAAGAUUCAGCAUUAGUUCAUGAAAUAACAAAGUGGGAAGAAUCAAAAGGAUUUGAGAACUAACAGGCAGGUAAAAAGACAGGACUUGCUCCCUGUAUCUAAGGACUGAAGUCCUUUUCUCAUCUUUCGUUUUGCAAAGAUCAGAUAGACAUAGUGGACUUGUUGCAGGCUGAUAUAUAUUCUAAUGCAAGUUUUGUAUCUUUCCAACAGUGCCUUUGCCCAUUGGGUAAGACUCUUUACUUGUUUUAUCACAUGUAGUCCGUCAUGGACAUUGAGCACAUAGAGAUCCUUGCAGCUGUCAAUGAAGAAGAAGGCUUAGUCUGGCUCAAAUCAAGUUUUCUGGAGGGAAGAUGCUUGGAACGAGUUAUUGUAUUAAUCCUAUUUGCUUACUCUGUCUGCAUCAAAUUGUGAACGCUGUUGUUCCAUUCACUUUGUCAGUUACAAUUAGACUUCGAUCUUGAACACCAACCAUCCUGAGAUUGAGGAAUCAAAGGCUAUAAUGCACCAAAGAGAACAUGACAGCGCCGAUCCACAAGGGUUAAACAUCAUUUACAGACAAAACAUGACAACGAAGAAGACGUUGCUUAGCUGCUUCAGAAAAGAUGAACGACACAAGAUACCUAAGUGUCCCCUUCAUUUCCCCCUCCCCCUCUGCCACAGGCCCGACCAGCACCCUAAAGUCUUCAUCUCUCUGUCCUGCAAAGCAAAAGAAAGGGAGAAACAUGAAGAAUGUGAUCUAGCUUUUCAAAAGAACAAUUGCUCAGUGUCAUUAUCAAGCUGCGUUGGGCAUCGAAUCUGUGAAUUUUAGCUGACUUUUUUCUUCAAUGGUUUGUUCUCUCUUGGCUGGAUGCCCCCCCUGGAGAACGAGAAAUAAUGCAACUGGUCGCCCUCCAAAUGCUCUUUGGAAGAUUAGAACUGUAUCUUUUCUAAGAUUAUUUUGGCGACUAAUUCUCCAUUGCAGUCAAGAAAACAAGGAAUCGUUUCAUUUCA